rnacentral:rRNA from 1 species
GAGGGUGCGAGCGUUAAUCGGAAUUUCUGGGCGUAAAGCGCUCGUAGGUGGUAUGUCAAGUCAAGGGUGAAAUCCCCGCGCCCAACGUGGGAACUGCCUUUGAAACUGGCAGACUGGAGUGUGUGAGAGGAUAGUGGAAUUCCAGGUGUAGGAGUGAAAUCCGUAGAUAUCUGGAGGAACAUCAGUGGCGAAGGCGACUAUCUGGCACAUAACUGACACUGAGGAGCGAAAGCGUGGGUAGCAAA